GACGAACGCUGGCGGCGUGCCUAAUACAUGCCAGUCGAACGCUGAAGCUUGGUGCUUGCACCGAGCGGAUGAGUUGCGAACGGGUGAGUAACGCGUAGGUAACCUGCCUGGUAGCGGGGGAUAACUAUUGGAAACGAUAGCUAAUACCGCAUAAGAGUAGAUGUUGCAUGACAUUUGCUUAAAAGGUGCAAUUGCAUCACUACCAGAUGGACCUGCGUUGUAUUAGCUAGUUGGUGAGGUAACGGCUCACCAAGGCAACGAUACAUAGCCGACCUGAGAGGGUGAUCGGCCACACUGGGACUGAGACACGGCCCAGACUCCUACGGGAGGCAGCAGUAGGGAAUCUUCGGCAAUGGACGGAAGUCUGACCGAGCAACGCCGCGUGAGUGAAGAAGGUUUUCGGAUCGUAAAGCUCUGUUGUAAGAGAAGAACGAGUGUGAGAGUGGAAAGUUCACACUGUGACGGUAUCUUACCAGAAAGGGACGGCUAACUACGUG
rnacentral:rRNA from 1 species